rnacentral:rRNA from 1 species
AGUGAACGCUGGCGGUAGGCCUAACACAUGCAAGUCGAACGGCAGCACAGUAAGAGCUUGCUCUUACGGGUGGCGAGUGGCGGACGGGUGAGGAAUACAUCGGAAUCUACUUUUUCGUGGGGGAUAACGUAGGGAAACUUACGCUAAUACCGCAUACGACCUACGGGUGAAAGCAGGGGAUCUUCGGACCUUGCGCGAUUGAAUGAGCCGAUGUCGGAUUAGCUAGUUGGCGGGGUAAAGGCCCACCAAGGCGACGAUCCGUAGCUGGUCUGAGAAGAUGAUCAGCCACACUGGAACUGAGACACGGUCCAGACUCCUACGGGAGGCAGCAGUGGGGAAUAUUGGACAAAGGGCGCAAGCCUGAUCCAGCCAUACCGCGUGGGUGAAGAAGGCCUUCGGGUUGUAAAGCCCUUUUGUUGGGAAAGAAAAGCAGCAGGUUAAUACCCCGCUGUUCUGACGGUACCCAAAGAAUAAGCACCGGCUAACUUCGUG